rnacentral:misc_RNA from 1 species
AUUUGAUUGAAUUGAAUAAUAUUAAGAUCUAAACAAGAAGCUAAAUGAUAUAAAAAAAAAAAAAGAACAGAAAUUCAUAUUUAUACAUACCAUAUACAAGAAAAUUUACAUUUAUACAUAGUACUAGGUAGGUGCAAAACGAUCCAUAAGCAAAAACAAAGUUGCUUCACACAUUAUGUUGUUAUCAUUUUUGCUCUCUCUCAUCAUUUCUAAAGAAGAAGAAUUAUUCUGAGUUUCUUCAACUUUUUCCCCUUUUUUUUUCUUCUUCAACAAGAAAAGGCUUUUGGCUUUAACCUUUUCACUUAUUUUUGUAAUCUCAAAAACACAAGCAUCAACAACUGCUGCCAUUAUCUUUCUUGCA